rnacentral:rRNA from 1 species
UGGGUUUAAAGGGUGCGUAGGCGGCUUUUUAAGUCAGUGGUGAAAUCCUGCCGCUUAACGGUAGAAUUGCCAUUGAUACUGAAGAGCUUGAGUUCAGUUGAGGUAAGCGGAAUGUGUAGUGUAGCGGUGAAAUGCUUAGAUAUUACACAGAACACCAAUUGCGAAGGCAGCUUACUAAACUGACACUGACGCUGAUGCACGAAAGCGUGGGGAGCGAACAGGAUUAGAUACCCUGGUAGUCCACGCCGUAAACGAUGUUCACUCGCUGUUUGCGAUACACAGCAAGCGGCCAAGCGAAAGCAUUAAGUGAACCACCUGGGGAGUACGAUCGCAAGGUUGAAACUCAAAGGAAUUGACGGGGGCCCGCACAAGCGGAGGAACAUGUGGUUUAAUUCGAUGAUACGCGAGGAACCUUACCUGGGCUUAAAUGUAGAACGACAGAUUGUGAAAGCAGUCCUUCUUCGGACGUUUUACAAGGUGCUGCAUGGUUGUCGUCAGCUCGUGCCGUGAGGUGUCGGGUUAAGUCCCAUAACGAGCGCAACCCUUAUCGUUAGUUGCCAGCGGGUCAUGCCGGGGACUCUAGCGAGACUGCCACCGUAAGGUGUGAGGAAGGUGGGGAUGACGUCAAAUCAGCACGGCCCUUAUGUCCAGGGCUACACACGUGUUACAAUGGCCGGUACAAAGGGCAGCUACUUCGCGAGAAGAUGCUAAUCUCGAAAGCCGGUCUCAGUUCGGAUCGAAGUCUGCAACCCGACUUCGUGAAGCUGGAUUCGCUAGUAAUCGCAUAUCAGCCAUGAUGCGGUGAAUACGUUCCCGGGCCUUGUACACACCGCCCGUCAAACAAUGGAAGCUGGGGGUACCUGAAGUCUGUAACCGAAAGGAGCGGCC